rnacentral:pre_miRNA from 1 species
CUCUGCCGCCAGAUCCGGCAAGCUCGCGGCUCGCUAGAGCCCGACGAACCUCCGGCGAGCUCUGGCGAGAUCAACCGAGCCUCGAGCUCGCCGGAUCUGGCGACUGAA